rnacentral:tRNA from 1 species
AGUCUUAUAUUCAAAAAAAAAUGAUUUUAAAUUGCAAAUUUAAAGAUGGGUUUAAACUCUAAGGCUU